rnacentral:rRNA from 1 species
GUGGGGAAUAUUGGACAAUGGGCGGAAGCCUGAUCCAGCCAUGCCGCGUGUGUGAAGAAGGCCUUUUGGUUGUAAAGCACUUUAAGCGAGGAGGAGGCUCCUUUAGUUAAUACCUAAAGUGAGUGGACGUUACUCGCAGAAUAAGCACCGGCUAACUCUGUGCCAGCAGCCGCGGUAAUACAGAGGGUGCAAGCGUUAAUCGGAUUUACUGGGCGUCAAGCGCGCGUAGGUGGCCAAUUAAGUCAAAUGUGAAAUCCCCGAGCUUAACUUGGGAAUUGCAUUCGAUACUGGUUGGCUAGAGUAUGGGAGAGGAUGGUAGAAUUCCAGGUGUAGCGGUGAAAUGCGUAGAGAUCUGGAGGAAUACCGAUGGCGAAGGCAGCCAUCUGGCCUAAUACUGACACUGAGGUGCGAAAGCAUGGGGAGCAAACAGGAUUAGAUACCCUAGUAGUCC